ACGGGUGAGUAAUACAUCGGAACGUAUCCUGGAGUGGGGGAUAGCCCGGCGAAAGCCGGAUUAAUACCGCAUACGCUCUGAGGAGGAAAGCGGGGGACCUUCGGGCCUCGCGCUCAAGGGGCGGCCGAUGGCGGAUUAGGUAGUUGGUGGGGUAAAGGCCUACCAAGCCGACGAUCCGUAGCUGGUCUGAGAGGACGACCAGCCACACUGGGACUGAGACACGGCCCAGACUCCUACGGGAGGCAGCAGUGGGGAAUUUUGGACAAUGGGGGCAACCCUGAUCCAGCAAUGCCGCGUGUGUGAAGAAGGCCUUCGGGUUGUAAAGCACUUUUGUCCGGAAAGAAAUCAUCGGGGCCAAUACCCCUGGUGGAUGACGGUACCGGAAGAAUAAGCACCGGCUAACUACGUGCCAGCAGCCGCGGUAAUACGUAGGGUGCGAGCGUUAAUCGGAAUUACUGGGCGUAAAGCGAGCGCAGGCGGUGCUGUAAGACCGAUGUGAAAUCCCCGGGCUUAACCUGGGAACUGCAUUGGUGACUGCAGCGCUGGAGUAUGGCAGAGGGGGGUGGAAUUCCACGU
rnacentral:rRNA from 1 species